rnacentral:rRNA from 1 species
GACGAACGCUGGCGGCGUGCUUAACACAUGCAAGUCGAACGGAAAGGCCCUGCUUUUGUGGGGUGCUCGAGUGGCGAACGGGUGAGUAACACGUGAGUAGCCUGCCCUUGACUUUGGGAUAACUUCAGGAAACUGGGGCUAAUACCGGAUAGGAGCUCCUGCUGCAUGGUGGGGGUUGGAAAGUUUCGGCGGUUGGGGAUGGACUCGCGGCUUAUCAGCUUGUUGGUGGGGUAGUGGCUUACCAAGGCUUUGACGGGUAGCCGGCCUGAGAGGGGGACCGGCCACAUUGGGACUGAGAUACGGCCCAGACUCCUACGGGAGGCAGCAGUGGGGAAUAUUACACAAUGGGCGGAAGCCUGAUGCAGCAACGCCGCGUGCGGGAUGACGGCCUUCGGGUUGUAAACCGCUUUCGCCUGUGACGAAGCGUGAGUGACGGUAAUGGGUAAAGAAGCACCGGCUAACUACGUG